rnacentral:rRNA from 1 species
GUAACAUGUGGGAAUCUGCCUUGUGGUUCAGGACAACAUUGGGAAACCGAUGCUAAUACUGGAUAAGCCCUUACGGGGAAAGUUUUAAUGCCAUAAGAUGAGCCCGCAUUUGAUUAGUUAGUUGGUGAGGUAAUGGCCCACCAAGACAAUGAUCAAUAGCUGAUCUGAGAGGAUGAUCAGCCACACUGGGACUGAGACACGGCCCAGACUCCUACGGGAGGCAGCAGUGGGGAAUCUUGCACAAUGGAGGAAACUCUGAUGCAGCGAUGCCGCGUGAGUGAAGAAGGCCUUUGGGUUGUAAAGCUCUUUUGUAGGGGAAGAUAAUGACUGUACCCUAAGAAUAAGGUCCGGCUAACUUUGUGCCAGCAGCCGCGGUAAUACGAAGGGACCUAGCGUAGUUCGGAAUUACUGGGCGUAAAGCGCGCGUAGGCCGUUGAGUUAGUUAAUUGUGAAAUCCCAAAGCUUAACUUUGGAACUGCAAUUAAAACUGCUCGACUAGAGUUUGAUAGAGGAAAGCGGAAUACAUAGUGUAGAGGUGAAAUUCGUAGAUAUUAUGUAGAACACCAGUUGCGAAGGCGGCUUUCUGGAUCAACACUGACGCUGAGGCG